AUGAACGCUAGCGACAGGCUUAACACAUGCAAGUCGAGGGGCAGCACAGGUAGCAAUACCGGGUGGCGACCGGCGCACGGGUGAGUAACGCGUAUGCAACUUGCCUAUCAGAGGGGGAUAACCCGGCGAAAGUCGGACUAAUACCGCAUGAAGCAGGGAUCCCGCAUGGGAAUAUUUGCUAAAGAUUCAUCGCUGAUAGAUAGGCAUGCGUUCCAUUAGGCAGUUGGCGGGGUAACGGCCCACCAAACCGACGAUGGAUAGGGGUUCUGAGAGGAAGGUCCCCCACAUUGGUACUGAGACACGGACCAAACUCCUACGGGAGGCAGCAGUGAGGAAUAUUGGUCAAUGGCCGAGAGGCUGAACCAGCCAAGUCGCGUGAGGGAUGAAGGUUCUAUGGAUCGUAAACCUCUUUUAUAAGGGAAUAAAGUGCGGGACGUGUCCCGUUUUGUAUGUACCUUAUGAAUAAGGAUCGGCUAACUCCGUGCCAGCAGCCGCGGUAAUACGGAGGAUCCGAGCGUUAUCCGGAUUUAUUGGGUUUAAAGGGUGCGUAGGCGGCCUUUUAAGUCAGCGGUGAAAGUCUGUGGCUCAACCAUAGAAUUGCCGUUGAAACUGGGGGGCUUGAGUAUGUUUGAGGCGGGCGGAAUGCGUGGUGUAGCGGUGAAAUGCAUAGAUAUCACGCAGAACCCCGAUUGCGAAGGCAGCCUGCCAAGCCAUGACUGACGCUGAUGCACGAAAGCGUGGGGAUCAAACAGGAUUAGAUACCCUGGUAGUCCACGCAGUAAACGAUGAUCACUAGCUGUUUGCGAUACACUGUAAGCGGCACAGCGAAAGCGUUAAGUGAUCCACCUGGGGAGUACGCCGGCAACGGUGAAACUCAAAGGAAUUGACGGGGGCCCGCACAAGCGGAGGAACAUGUGGUUUAAUUCGAUGAUACGCGAGGAACCUUACCCGGGUUUGAACGCAUUCGGACCGAGGUGGAAACACCUUUUCUAGCAAUAGCCGUUUGCGAGGUGCUGCAUGGUUGUCGUCAGCUCGUGCCGUGAGGUGUCGGCUUAAGUGCCAUAACGAGCGCAACCCUUGCCACUAGUUACUAACAGGUAAAGCUGAGGACUCUGGUGGGACUGCCAGCGUAAGCUGCGAGGAAGGCGGGGAUGACGUCAAAUCAGCACGGCCCUUACAUCCGGGGCGACACACGUGUUACAAUGGCGUGGACAAAGGGAAGCCACCUGGCGACAGGGAGCGAAUCCCCAAACCACGUCUCAGUUCGGAUCGGAGUCUGCAACCCGACUCCGUGAAGCUGGAUUCGCUAGUAAUCGCGCAUCAGCCAUGGCGCGGUGAAUACGUUCCCGGGCCUUGUACACACCGCCCGUCAAGCCAUGGGAGCCGGGGGUACCUGAAGUCCGUAACCGCGAGGAUCGGCCUAGGGUAAAACUGGUGACUGGGGCU
rnacentral:rRNA from 1 species